UCAUGGCAUAAAUAAUAGUUAAAUAUUACGAACUAUAGUUUAAAAUCUAAAGAUUUUGGCGGUGUCUUAUAAAACCAGGGGAACCUGUCUCAUAACUCGAUAAUCCACGCAUAUUCAACCUUCUCUAGAUAUACAGCAUGUGUACUGCCGUUGUAAGUAUACCUUUAAAAGAAUAAGUAUACCACUAUGGCUACCAAAUUACCCCAUUUACAUCAGGUCAAAGUGCAGCUAAUAAGAAGGAGACGAUGGGUUACAACCCCAAACCAGACUAUCAACCAAGAAAUAAAAAAUCUUAUGAAAGUGGACUUGGCCGUAAUCAACUUAUAACUUAAAAAAAUGAACAUUCUCUAAGACAUGCACACAUCGCCCGUCACUCUAACCUAAAGGCU
rnacentral:rRNA from 1 species